UAAACUACCAUUUUUUUAGAGUAAAAAGUA
rnacentral:piRNA from 1 species